AGAUUCUAUUGAAAAAACUGUCUGGUUCUAUCUGCUUCCGUUUUCGAGAAUUUUUUUUUUGGAAAGGGAUUUUUUCUAUAGUUAAAGUAUUACUUUUUAACGCCAUCUGCCGGAGAACGCAUGCAUAACCUAGAGAAAUGAUUUUGAUCUUCACAUGGCUAUUACACAAAGGCUUAUGGCAUUGGAUGAUGGAUUAGAAGCUGAAAAUAUAAUCAGAAUACCUUUGUUACCAAUUGAUACAGAUAUUAUUACAUCAUUCAAUAUUCAGAAUGGUAGAAUCCCUGCCACAUUUCCUCCUAAGAAAAUUUAACAAAAACAAGUUGUGGUCUACAAUACAGAUUUAUUUUUUACAGAAUUUAAACCUGUUUCCAUUCAGAAUAAGAAGAAAAAUAAAAAGAAAGGACGAAAAAAUUUGAAAAAGAAACAGAAAAAUUAAUCAUUUGUUUGUACUGUAUAUAAAUUUAUAAUAAAAUAAUUAUUUAAAGUUAUUAAUUUUAUUAAUUUAAAAUCGUGCGGUUCACUUUAAUAACGAAAAAAAGUUCCUAGUUACUUUGAUUAAUUGACUAGUGUAGACACUGAUUAGGUUAUUUUAAUACCGAACAAUUAUAUUGAUCUACAUAAUUUGUAUCAACAGAACCGUAGCAUCGUCGACUAACUGUUUAAUGACAUAAAAUUAUACUAAUCUAGAAGAUAAUUAACGGUAAUAAUCGUAGAGUAAAUUAGAUAACGAGUUAAAAUAUGUAUUAAGGUUGCUUAGAAAAGUGACAGUAAUUUGGAGGUCGAAAGAGAUUUGUAAAGAUGCUUCGUUAAUGCUUAACAUUUAGCAUUAAUCAUCUCGAAUUGCUCGCUGACGGUCACGUUAAGGAAUUAAAGGGGGGUUACGAUGGCCGUCCCAUUUAAUUCCACAGCAGAAUCACCCACGAAACGUCCUUCACCCGCGAACAUCUGACCAACCAAAAUAAUGUUUUGGCGGCAAUUCCAAUGAUUCCAUCUUAACCUACAGCCGCGGGCCGCGCCAGUGAAAGCAAAACUUCGAUAGUUAUGUAGGUCGAAUGACGCAAGUGUUACUUCGUAGCUUUAUCUUCCGACGCACUCCAUCUUACACGACCGUGACAUCGUCUGGAGGGCACAAGGACAUUCUGGGUUGGAUCACUCGGAAUACUCUUCCAACCGUCUCCUUAUCUGUACAGAUGUAGGUUGACGUUUCAAACUGAUCGAGAAAAAGUACUGUACACCACUGUUACUACUGCUUUUGCCGUUACUGACUAUCGUUUAUCAUAUUUGCUCCUGGCAAUUGUGGCACGAAAAAGAAAUCUGGUAGAGCCGCAUUCUAUUAUAAUAUCGUAAAUUUACUCAGAUCGUAAGAAUGAUACUUUAUGAUCAUUUGGAACGAUCUACCAAACAAUUUGGAACAAUCUGCAUAACGGUUUUCAACAAUUGAAAUGUGUAUCAUUAUUUGUUUUAACUCGUGUCGAUUUGAAUGUAACGCGGUUUCGAAAUACGAAUAUUUGGUAAUAUGCAAUC